rnacentral:rRNA from 1 species
UACGUAGGGGGCAAGCGUUGUCCGGAUUUACUGGGCGUAAAGAGCGCGUAGGCGGAAGCUUAAGUGUGGCCUGAAAGCCCCCCGGCUCAACCGGGGAGUGCGGCUGCAAACUGGGGCUUCUUGAGGGCGGCAGAGGAGAGUGGAAUUCCUGGUGUAGCGGUGAAAUGCGUAGAGAUCAGGAGGAACACCCGUGGCGAAGGCGCUUCUGGGC